UGAAGAGGGGAAAAGCCCAAAUUUGUAAUCUGGCUCUUUUAUAAGGGUCCGAGUUGUAAUUUUGAGAACUGUUUUCUGUGUUGGACCAUAUACAAGUCUGUUGGAAAACAGCAUCAUUGAGGGUGAUAAUCCCGUACAUGAUAUGGACUACCAAUGCAAUAUGAUACAGUCUCUAAGAGUCGAGUUGUUUGGGAAUGCAGCUCAAAGUGGGUGGUAAAUUCCAUCUAAGGCUAAAUAUAGGUGAGAGACCGAUAGCAAACAAGUACCGUGAGGGAAAGAUGAAAAGAACUUUGGAAAGAGAGUUAACAGUACGUGAAAUUGUUAAAAGGGAAACAUUUGAAGUUAGACUUGUUAUUGUUGGUUCAGCUUCUUUUUUUAAAUUAGGAGUCUAUUCCAAUGGUUGACAGACCAGCAUCAAUUUUUGAGUGUUAGAUAAGGGUCUUGGAGAAUGUGGCAACUUUGGUUGUGUUAUAGCUCUUGGCUUGAUAUAAUGCUUAGGAUUGAGGAACGCAGUGAGC
rnacentral:rRNA from 1 species